rnacentral:lncRNA from 1 species
GCAGGAUGGCAGCAGCAGACACACAGGGUGGUUAAGAACAACAAACACAGGCAAACCACUUCAAUAGAACAUGGCUGGCGGCCAUAUGGACAUAUUUGAAUCCAACAAUUAAUUCAGCAAAGAAAGCUGCUUGUGGCAAGUUUUGAAUGUGCCAUUCCAGGUAGUGCUUUGAUGAUAAAUGAGGAGAAGAUUGCAAAGAAAAUGACAGCAACAUUUAUAAAAGGAUUCCUCUUAGGACUCUAGAUGCACGGAGAGUGGCCAGAUUAAUACAGACUGGCAAAAGAAGAACUUGGCAAAGUGAUUUGAUCACACACUUCUCACCCUCACAUCUCCUGACAGUUCCCCUAAUCCCUGCCCCACUUCCCCGCCAUGGGCUUCCAUCAGGAAACUCCUUGAUAUCAUCUUCGAGAAGAAAACUGAGGCAUAGAACAUUUGGGAAUGAAUCUAAGACUACACAUCUAGAAUAGCAGAGUUACAGGAAUGCAGAUGUGAUUCCUAUGGAUGAGGGUAACCUAGAGGCUAGAAGAACAAUAGGACAGAAGAAGCCUGGGUCCCUGAACAACCUUGUGGAGCAUAGACACCUACGUGGCCUGGACUGCCAGCUCACAAUGGGCCUCUCUGUGAGAGAAGGAAACUUCCCUCUUGUUUAAGCAACUGUGCUUUUGAGAAUCUCUUGGUCUAUACCCUAAUGAAUAAGGCCAUCAUAAAUGGAUAUCAAAGUAAGGAAAUUUGUGUAAAUGAUUUAAUAAAACAUUACCUCAGGUAUGAAAUAAUUCUACCUUGUGCCUUGACAACAUCAGGUAUUAUUCAUGCCCUUUUCUCUCCCUGUAAUGUCUCUUAUCCACGGGUAGAAAUUAUAUUUUCCAUCUAAGGUUUGCUCAAAUAUUAUCUACUUAAGUAGCUCUUACCAAUUUUGCCUCUCCUCCUGAGCUGACCCUAUGCCUUCUAUGCUGUUCCAGGUAAUAUUAAUCUCUUCCUUUGUACUUCUUUCACAGAACAUACUUUUUUGUCUAACAUAAUAACUAUAGGCAUAAGUGUAUAGAUUCCACUAGGGGCUUCAGAACAGAAACUAUCAUCUUAUUAAUUUUUUUCUCCCUGAUAUCUAGGGAAAUAUGUUAUAUAUAAUAGGCCCUUAGUAAUCCCAUAAAUGUUUGUGAGAUAUUCACUGACUAUAAGCCAUACUCUGUAUUUAUUUAGCUAAAACAGACGUCUUUCAUAUUUAGUUAGCAGAAAAUGCUCACAUUUACUCCUUUCCUGUUUACCAAAUGAAAGGGUAAUUGUUUUUUCACAGAUUGCACUAGAAAAGUGUCUUCUCUCUCUUUUUCAAAUAGAUUGUCUUUAAAACAUAUGACAGGAAAAGUGACUAUUGUUAGGAUAAGAUAAUUACGAUUGUAACAGCUAGUUUAAAAGAAGUGUCAGUUGCUCCUGUUUUAUUUUUCACAGGAUAGAGCUGCGGCCUGUCUCAGUAUGAUGUUUUCAGGAUCUGGUAUAUAUUUUUAUUUUCCUACAUGAAUCUUUCAUCCUUUUACUGACAUUUAUUCAUUUUAUCUAAUUAUCCUAAAAGGAAAGCUCUGGCCAGGCAAAUUGGUUGUUGUCUGCCUCUGAAGAGACAUUCAUAUCGCGUCGCUUAGCUUUCAAGUUUUGUGAUCAGGAACCCUCAGGCCCAUUUUUAAGGAGGUUUCAGGCUAGCUGAGCUUCACUGUCUCCCAAAAUGUACAAAAUGAGAUUACAUGAGGGACAAGAUCAAUUUACUGGAAGGUACUUAAGCAGUAAAUCUGGAGCUUUUUGUCCAGUCACUAUUGCUUUCAAGCUUUGUAGCAGAAAAUUAAGCCACAAGAGCUUUGACAAAUUAGAUAUUACUACCUCUAAUUGUGUAUGUUUAAGCUUAUCACACUGAAUUGCAGCAUUGUAACUGACUAUUAUGCCAACAAGGCCUUCGUUUAAUCAGCGCAGUGCCAUUUAAUCGCAAUUAAUCACUCAACUAAAAUGUCAUAUUAAGGUCACAGAAACUUGAAGGGCUAAAAGAAAAGAGAACAUUAAAGUCAGCUGAUGGAGGAAAAGAGCAUGGUGUGCCAAGGGAAGUUCUGAGCACUCUUUUUCAUUAGAAGCUGGUAGAACAUUUAAUGAGAAUUCAGUCUUAACUUUCAGCUGAGAUCAGAACAACGUGCC